AGUGAACGCUGGCGGUAGGCCUAACACAUGCAAGUCGAACGGCAGCACAGUAAGCGCUUGCUCUUACGGGUGGCGAGUGGCGGACGGGUGAGGAAUACAUCGGAAUCUACUUUUUCGUGGGGGAUAACGUAGGGAAACUUACGCUACUACCGCAUACGACCUACGGGUUAAAUCAGGAGAUCUUCGGACCUUGCGCGAUUGUAUGAGCCGAUGUCGGAUUAGCUAGUUGGCGGGGUAAAGGCCCACCAAGGCGACGAUCCGUAGCUGGUCUGAGAGGAUGAUCAGCCACACUGGAACUGAGACACGGUCCAGACUCCUACGGGAGGCAGCAGUGGGGAAUAUUGGACAAUGGGCGCAAGCCUGAUCCAGCCAUACCGCGUGGGUGAAGAAGGCCUUCGGGUUGUAAAGCCCUUUUGUUAGGAAAGAAAAGAAGCAGGUUAAUACCCCGCUGUUCUGACGGUACCCAAAGAAUAAGCACCGGCUAACUUCGUG
rnacentral:rRNA from 1 species